ACACCCUACCUAGCUGCAAGGAAGGCGAGGAAAAUGAGUGUCUGGCAUUGCCAGUGUUGUAGGGGAAAAUGAACCAUGCCCUAUAAGGGUAACUCUCCAUACAUAGGAAGGAGGCUGCCACAAGGAAUGACUAAUGGUGCUGCAAAGGUUUCUCAAAUUGGAAAUAGCAUUAGCUGCUCUUUGAAAAAUUUUUAAAGAUUUAUUUAUGGGGGGGGGUACAGGGCAAAGGAGGAGAGAGAGAGAGAAUCCCAAGCAGGCUCCAUGCCCACCUUGAAGCUCCCUACGGGGCUCGAUCUCACGACCCCGAGAUCAUGACUGGAGCUGAAAUGAAGAGCCAGUCACUCAACUGACUGAGUCAUCCAGGCGCCUCUCUUUAACUGCUCUUUGAAGACUGGACAAGAUUUGGACCCAGAAAAUGAGAAAAACACUGCAACUGAGGAAAUUCCAUUGGAGGUGGGAAUAAAAGCCUAGGUUUUUCAGGAAUUCACAAGAUCCUCCAACAAAAUGGAAAGAUAAGACAUGCUGGUGUCUUAACAGAUAACAGAUAAUAGAGAAAGAAUGGCACCAAGCUCUGGGAUAUGCAGCUGAAGAGGCUUUAAAAGAAAAGUUACCGAAGGUAGGUCAUUAGAGGAUAUCCUCAAGGUCCAAAUCACUUGUCAGAAUUUCUCUGUACUCUUGUAGUCACCAGGGCCUUCAGUGACAACUGGAAAGUUAGAACCAACCAGUCCCCCAAGUAUCACAAAGGAGGCACCCAGGUGGUUUCUUCACUUCCUUUGUUUUGUCCCCUUGCACGCCUGGGCAGGAAACAAAGCAGUGGAAACAGGGGCUGCUUUUGAGGUGUAUUCAAAUGGGGGCCAUGGUGGCAGUUUGGGGGUGGGACAUGUUAUUUCUAGCUUAGGCUGUUGAGACUUUGCCAAAUGACUUCUUUUUCUCCCUGUAUCUCCCAUGAACACAGGAUAGAUUGAUCCCUUUCUCAGACAAUCCCACAUCAUUUCUUUCCAUUCUUUGGAGCUCUAAAUCUUUGUUCCACCUGGGUAGCUGGAAUGAUGUAGGGCAGUCUGGAAGAGGGUCUGGCCCUUUCACCAUAGUUCAUUUCAUUUUUAUGCUCCCUUUCUAUCUGGCUUUUCUUAAUAGCUUUGAGAUGAAUUUCCUUUCAGCCUUGCUCUGGCCUUGUGAAAGCAAAGAGUUGAGUUAUUACACACGAUAGGAGCAUUUAUUUAUCUGGCUUUCAUCAAGAUAAAUAACAAAUUUAUAUAAAAUCUUAGCACAUCAAAAAAAUUCCAAUGUAGAAAAAAUAACCAAGGUUUACUUAAUGGUUUUGCAAAAACUUUGUCAUAAAAUCUCAAC
rnacentral:lncRNA from 1 species